UUCUCGCUCCGGAGGCGAACCCCGUUCGCUCAGUGAUCUCAGCCGAGCGUUUCCACCCAGCAACUCCAGCGAAAAGCAGCCAAAAGUCGUCAGGGCGCGCGGCACGACCCUCCACGUCCAGCCACAGGUAACAGCGGCAAUUUUCAUACUAGCGAGCAAAGGGCGGCCCAGAAUCUGUCAGCGUGAUUUGCACCCGGAGAAGCCGGCACUCCAUCACGGAGACAAGGCGGAAACCCGAGAGGCCACAGCCCUCUGGUCCCUGUACAGCCAGCCAAACACAAAACACGGUGACAGACAACGUGCAGUCGGCCAGGUCUGUUUGGCAGGAGGCUGUAAGGAUGACGGAUGAGGACCCAUGCAGCAGAACAAGAAGGGCGUCCGUGGACCGCCAUGUCUUACUCAGGAAAAUCCUGAGAGCAGCCGGUGGACAUUCAGAUGGAAUGCAGUCCUCAGAGAGGAGGCAGAGUACAGAUCUAUCUCCAUUAUGUCU